CCAGACUCCUACGGGAGGCAGCAGUGGGGAAUAUUGCACAAUGGGCGCAAGCCUGAUGCAGCGACGCCGCGUGGGGGAUGACGGCCUUCGGGUUGUAAACUCCUUUCGCCCGGGACGAAGCCCACCUGGUGGGUGACGGUACCGUGGAGAAGAAGCACCGGCUAACUACGUGCCAGCAGCCGCGGUAAUACGUAGGGUGCAAGCGUUGUCCGGAUUUACUGGGCGUAAAGAGCUCGUAGGUGGUGUGUCGCGUCGUCUGUGAAAUUCCGGGGCUUAACUCCGGGCGUGCAGGCGAUACGGGCACGACUAGAGUGCUGUAGGGGUAACUGGAAUUCCUGGUGUAGCGGUGAAAUGCGCAGAUAUCAGGAGGAACACCGAUGGCGAAGGCAGGUUACUGGGCAGUUACUGACGCUGAGGAGCGAAAGCAUGGGGAGCGAACAGGAUUAGAUACCCUGGUAGUCCAUGCUGUAAACGGUGGGCGCUAGGUGUGGGCUGUGUGUUUGCAGUCUGUGCCGUAGCUAACGCAUUAAGCGCCCCGCCUGGGGAGUACGGCCGCAAGGCUAAAACUCAAAGGAAUUGACGGGGGCCCGCACAAG
rnacentral:rRNA from 1 species